rnacentral:tRNA from 1 species
CGGGGCGUGGCGCAGACCGGUAGCGCACUCCGUUCGGGACGGAGGGGUCGAAGGUUCAAAUCCUUUCGCCCCGA